AGAGUUUGAUCAUGGCUCAGAACGUACGCUGGCGGCACGCCUAACACAUGCAAGUCGAACGAAGUAGCAAUACUUAGUGGCAGACGGGUGAGUAACAUGUGGGUAUCUGCCCUUUGGCCUGGAAUAACACGAGGAAACUUGUGCUAAUACCGGAUAAGUCUUUACGGAGAAAGCUUUAUGCACCAUUGGAUGAGCCCGCACUUGAUUAGUUUGUUGGUGGGGUAAUGGCCUACCAAGACUAUGAUCAAUAGCUGAUUUGAGAGGAUGAUCAGCCACAUUGGGACUGAGACACGGCCCAAACUCCUACGGGAGGCAGCAGUGGGGAAUCUUGCACAAUGGAGGAAACUCUGAUGCAGCGAUGCCGCGUGAGUGAAGAAGGCCCUUGGGUUGUAAAGCUCUUUCGUCGGGGAAGAAAAUGACUGUACCCGAAUAAGAAGGUCCGGCUAACUUCGUGCCAGCAGCCGCGGUAAUACGAAGGGACCUAGCGUAGUUCGGAAUUACUGGGCUUAAAGAGUUCGUAGGUGGUUGAAAAAGUUAGUGGUGAAAUCCCAGAGCUUAACUCUGGAACUGCCAUUAAAACUUUUCAGCUAGAGUAUGAUAGAGGAAAGUAGAAUUUCUAGUGUAGAGGUGAAAUUCGUAGAUAUUAGAAAGAAUACCAAUUGCGAAGGCAGCUUUCUGGAUCAUUACUGACACUGAGGAACGAAAGCAUGGGUAGCGAAGAGGAUUAGAUACCCUCGUAGUCCAUGCCGUAAACGAUGUGUGUUAGACGUUGGAAAUUUAUUUUCAGUGUCGCAGCGAAAGCGAUAAACACACCGCCUGGGGAGUACGACCGCAAGGUUAAAACUCAAAUGAAUUGACGGGGACCCGCACAAGUAGUGGAGCAUGUGGUUUAAUUCGAAGAUACGCGCAGAACCUUACCAACACUUGACAUGUUCGUCGCGACUCUAAGAGAUUAGAGUUUUCGGUUCGGCCGGACGAAACACAGGUGCUGCAUGGCUGUCGUCAGCUCGUGUCGUGAGAUGUUGGGUUAAGUCCCGCAACGAGCGCAACCCUCACUUUUAGUUGCCAUCAUUAAGUUGGGCACUCUGAAAGAACUGCCAGUGAUAAGCUGGAGGAAGGUGGGGAUGACGUCAAGUCCUCAUGGCCCUUACGUGUUGGGCUACACACGUGCUACAAUGGUAUCUACAACAGGAAGCAAGACUGCGAGGUCAAGCAAAUCCUUAAAAGAUACCUCAGUUCGGAUUGCACUCUGCAACUCGAGUGCAUGAAGCUGGAAUUACUAGUAAUCGUGGAUCAGCGUGCCACGGUGAAUGCGUUCCCGGGUCUUGUACACACCGCCCGUCACACCAUGGGAGUUGGUUCUACCUUAAGGCAAGGUUUCAAACCCUUGACCACGGUAUAGUCAGCGACUGGGGUGAAGUCGUAACAAGGUA
rnacentral:rRNA from 1 species